AGUCGCUGCGUCUCCGCGGUGCCCACUCACUGGCGCGGGCGUGGUGCGUGCUGGGGUCUGCGCGUCUCUCCGCGUGCGUCAAGGAACCGUGGGGAUUGGAUCGAGCGCGCGCGCGCACACACGUUCCGGACCCCAUUUGCUCGUCAAAGGACAGCAGCGUUAGCGUCUGCAUAAGCCUCCUCCGCGUGGCGCACACCACCCGCCGCUGCCGCAGCGCCACCACAGCCACCACGGUCUCUCCAAUCAGAGGCUGGAUCACCACCGCCGAGCCUCCCACCACAUGCAAGAUCCUGGGAAAAGAGAGACCAACGUUGUGGCCAAACAAGACUACUGGCGUUCAUGAACAUGUACUGCCCUUUUCUGCUGUCAAUCGACUGCUGGAUUAGGGCCUCUCCAUAUUGUGCGGGUCAUGGGCAUUGUUUGACCGUAGUUCACCACCAUUGGUGUGAGUUGGUGUAGUAGCCAGCGUAUUGCAGGACAACGGCGCAUGUUUCUUCACUGCCCUCUGCUGCCCACAACGCAGCCUUGAAGCCUCACAACGACCGUUUAAUACAAGGUCAGCCACCCAACAACGAUCCAGGCUCAAUACCGCUCAACUUUCAAGACCCCACGAGAUCGGGAACAUUCCGGGUGAUUUUGAUUUGGUUUUAGUCUACAUGGUCCCCCUGAUAAAUAUGAAAGAAAACCGAAUGUCAAAUUGGUGACCCAGGUCAUUCUUGCAAAUGAGGCCAUCUUGGUCUUUUGAGUUCUCACCUGGCUUCACAAAAUACAUUUACAACGUGAAACCUGGGCUUACCAGCCCAUUACAUCUGCCUUGCAAAAAAUAGGUGAGCAAAUGCCAUCGACAACUGAUGUUGUAAAAAAAUAGCUCUUACCUCACAUUAUCAGCUACUGCCACCAGUCGUGGAGAUUGAGAGUCUUGGAUGAGAACCAACUUGGAAACUUCUGCUCCCUAUUGGCAACACAAACCAGAAGUUUUAUCACCAAACCAAAAUAAGCAAAGGCCUUUCAAUGACUGUGUCCAAUAAAAGGCAAUUCUCUAAGUAAAAAGGCGAUGAUUACUCACAUCAGUCAAGACCCAUGUAUGGAUUUCUUGCCAUUGUCCAUCUUCCCAGUGCUCAGCCCACAAGGAAACAAGGCCUUUCUGAGCAAUAAUGAGGCACCUGCAAGGGUGUCCUUGAAGCUCCCAGAAUGCACUGCACAGGGCCUCAAUGCUUCCACUUGCUGAGCACUGUCAAUUUCACACAAAAGACAUUAAACAAUCAUCAUGAUAUAACUGUAUCCAUACACACAAGGCUUAAAUUAGUACUACGUCACAUCUUAUCGAGCAAUGUUGUUUGUAUUUAAAAGAUACAAAAAGGUACACAUUACAGCAUUUUUACAUGUACAGCUCUUUUACCAAUCCGCUGCUGAACGAGUCUCCCCACACUGUGCGGGUCAUGGGGGUUAUAUGACCAUACCUCACGACGUUGGUUAAGUACAGGUUGAUGAAGGUGGUGACCAUAGAUUUUAGAGCAUUGAACAGCAUAGCAAUGGGUUUUCUGCACUGCACUCUGCUCACAAAGAGGCUAGUUAUGAAUACUGUAUUAAACUCUCUAAUACGGCCAAAUCCCCAAUCCACUUUCAGUAACAUUAAUUCACUGUAUCGAGGACGGUGCACUCACAACAUACCUGAAUCGUAGCCAUCAAGUCUAACUGCCAGUGAAAUUUCUGCUUGGGCGCUCCUUGGGUUGCGUCCAUAGGAUUGUUCUCACCAUCACUAACAAGCGGAACAGAGCUCUCUGCCUGGUCUCUGUGCACGUUUAGUUCAUGUGGACUCAUCUGUACCACUGCUGCUGCGUUGUCGGGCUGUGAAGGAUGAAUAAACACAGUCUCUGGCCUCACAAAUUCUUGAUGUUCCCAACCCUGCAGCUCAGCACCAGAGCACUGGGAAGAUAAUUCUGCUCCAUCUCUCAUAGGAGGCUGUCCCUCGUGACAAACUGGAGUAGCAGCUGCAACCGCCGGUGGCAGCUCCCCUUUGCAGGAGCUUGCAACAUUCAUGUCGCUGUGGGUAAAAUCCUUAACUUUGUUUACUUGUGGAUUAGGGGCACACUCUCCAUUUACAUCUGCAUAUUGUGGAUCUGAAUUGAGCUGUUUCACCAAGCCACUGGUCUGUGACAAUCCACAGACUUGGCUCAGAGGCAGUGAAAGAGGGCUAAAUCCCACUGACAACCGCGGUGGUGAUAAAUGUAAAGCAGGCAUCUCAUCGAGUUGCACAUGUCCACUCUCGACUGGAGUGGACAGGAUGACAGUAGUGGACAACUGUGCCUUGGCAUCUCCACAGCCAAGUUUUAGUGAUUUAUCCAUUACAUUGUCAUCUGGGCAGCUUGCAUUUGCUUUUUCAAAGCAUUCAUCUUCUUGUGGGGCUACGUCAUUUUCUUCAUGGCACUUCUCUUCACAUGGAACACCUAAGGCAGCUCCAACAUUUACUUUUUCUGCACCCUGUUUGGAAAUGCAAGACCACCGAUACACAUUUUACCAUCACUGAACAAACAUAAUUGUGCACACUUCAUUUAAUCAAAAGUGAACGUAACCAUUUACUACUGUGUUGUGUUUAGCUCUAGAAAAAGUGGCCUGUAAUGCCUGACCUCG